rnacentral:snRNA from 1 species
AAAGCUUCUCGGCCUUUUGGCUAAGAUCAAGUGUAGUAUCUCUUCUUACCAGUUUAAUAUCUAAUACGUCCUCAAUCAGAGGACUUUAUAUUAAUCCCCAGGGAGGUGGUGGAGUCACCAUCC